rnacentral:rRNA from 1 species
AAUCAACGCUGGCGGCGCGCUUAACACAUGCAAGUCGCACGAGAAAGUGGAGCAAUCCAUGAGUACAGUGGCGCACGGGUGAGUAACACGUGGGUAACCUGCCCUUGAAUGGGGAAUAACCCGGGGGAAACCUGGGCUAAUACCGCAUACGCUCCUUUUGGCUCACGCCAGGGGGAGGAAAGGCGCAAGCCGUUCGAGGAGGGGCCCGCGGCCGAUUAGCUAGUUGGUAGGGUAAUGGCCACCAAGGCUUUGAUCGGUAGCCGGCCUGAGAGGGCACACGGCCACACUGGCACUGAAACACGGGGCCAGGACUCCUACGGGAGGCAGCAGUGGGGAAUCUUGCACAAUGGGGGAAACCCUGAUGCAGCGACGCCGCGUGAGCGAU